rnacentral:rRNA from 1 species
AAGAGUACGUGAAACCGUUUAGAAGUAAACCUGAGAAACCCAAAAGAUCGAAUGAGGAGAUUCAUCGUCAAAAUAUUUGGUAUUAAUACUUUUCAUGAUAUGGCAAAUAAUCCUUGUGGUUACUGUGUUGUACAUUUUAGUAUUAUUUUUGCCUUAUAUGUCGGCGUGCACUUCUCCUCUAGUAGAACGUCGCGACCCGUUAAAUGUUAAUCUAUGGCCCAAUUGAUAGUCUCAAAUUCUGCUUGCAUUAUUUCGAAAAUCAUUGGUGUUACUUGAUUAACUGUUUGACGGUACUCGUAUGGUAAUAAGUCGCUAUAUAUUAGCGUUGAGUUUAUCACAAGUGCGAUUAAUUUUCGAUAGUGCGGAUUUAAUGCCGUCGUUGAGAUUAAUCAACUGUUAGUUGAUAAUAUUCUUUAACUGACUUUAAUACCGGUCAGCGACGCUACUGCUUUGGGUAC